rnacentral:rRNA from 1 species
UACGUAGGGUGCGAGCGUUACUCGGAAUUACUGGGCGUAAAGCGUGCGCAGGCGGUUGUGCAAGACAGAUGUGAAAUCCCCGGGCUCAACCUGGGAACUGCAUUUGUGACUGCAUCGCUGGAGUGCGGCAGAGGGGGAUGGAAUUCCGCGUGUAGCAGUGAAAUGCGUAGAUAUGCGGAGGAACACCGAUGGCGAAGGCAAUCCCCUGGGCCUGCACUGACGCUCAUGCACGAAAGCGUGGGGAGCAAACAGG